rnacentral:rRNA from 1 species
AAUAGAUACCCCGGUAGUCCACGCCGUAAACGAUGAGUGCUAAGUGUUAGGGGGUUUCCGCCCCUUAGUGCUGCAGCUAACGCAUUAAGCACUCCGCCUGGGGAGUACGGUCGCAAGACUGAAACUCAAAGGAAUUGACGGGGGCCCGCACAAGCGGUGGAGCAUGUGGUUUAAUUCGAAGCAACGCGAAGAACCUUACCAGGUCUUGACAUCCUCUGACAACCCUAGAGAUAGGGCUUUCCCUUCGGGGACAGAGUGACAGGUGGUGCAUGGUUGUCGUCAGCUCGUGUCGUGAGAUGUUGGGUUAAGUCCCGCAACGAGCGCAACCCUUGAUCUUAGUUGCCAGCAUUCAGUUGGGCACUCUAAGGUGACUGCCGGUGACAAACCGGAGGAAGGUGGGGAUGACGUCAAAUCAUCAUGCCCCUUAUGACCUGGGCUGCACACGUGCUACAAUGGACAGAACAAAGGGCUGCGAGACCGCAAGGUUUAGCCAAUCCCACAAAUCUGUUCUCAGUUCGGAUCGC